CUUCCCCUUUGGCAAGUAAUGUUAUUCACCUGAUAUGGAACAAUGUUUCUUAUAUAUAUAUUUGCAUUAUACAAUUAAAGUAUCGUUUUUUUUUUUUUUUUUUUUUUUUUUGUCUGAGUUGUUCUUUGUUUAUACAUGCAUUCAUUUUCGUGUUUCCAUCCAAUUAAGGUCAAGCACGCUACACUGGACAUACACCUGUUUUACCUUACCCACUGCGUCAUUAAAAUCGCUCUCGGUGGGAGCCGGUACCUGGAAGCGAUCCCAGUACCUACCAACCUUAAGUCCGAUGGCUUAACCAUUACACCACAGAGGUCAAGCACGCUGCACUGGACAUACACCUGUUUUACCUUACCCACUGCGUCAUUAAAAUCGCUCUGGGUGGGAGCCGGUACCUGGAAGCGAUCCCAGUACCUACCAACCUUAAGUCCGAUGGCUUAACCAUUACACCACAGAGGUUCUGUCACAGUUGGAAACAGAAAACAAUACAGCAUCAAGCUUGUAGUAUAAUUGAAUCUACUGAAAGCUGUCUCAUAAACAUAGUAUACUCUCCCAAUCAGUUUCCAUUUCAGGUUUCUCCAUAGACACACAGAGAGUACAAAUUUCCUCAAAGAAAGAUAAAUAUAUGAAUGAAUGUGUUACGUAUGUAUAACAAUUAAAAAAAAAUUCCGUUUAAUAUUUCCUUCAGCUAAAGUAUUUUCUAAUUCUUUGAUGUACAAUUCCUUUUUUCAUUUAUAUGUGUCCCCCAAUCCCACCCCCUUCCAUAUGCACAACAUAUUAUUUUACUUCUAACAGUAUUUGCCAAAAGAGUGAGACUGAUGUUAUGACUGAGUUUAUUCAACUUUGUAGUGCUUCUUACUAUCCUUUAACUGUCAGUUUGAUGUCUAUCAGAAUUAAAGUUGAAAAGACACAUUGGUUUCAUUACCAUUUAGGCCUUUAUUGACAAUUGAUAAAAAGACACACUUUCGCAAAGAAGGAAGGAAAGAAAUUGUUUAUUUAACGAUGCACUCAACACAUUUUAUUUACGGUUAUAUGGCGUCGGACGUAUGGGUAAGGACCACACAGA